rnacentral:rRNA from 1 species
GACGAACGCUGGCGGCGUGCUUAACACAUGCAAGUCGAACGGUGAAGCGCCUUCCUUUUUGGUGGGUGUGGAUGAGUGGCGAACGGGUGAGUAACACGUGCGUAACCUGCCCCUUUCUUCUGGAUAACCGCAUGAAAGCGUGGCUAAUACGGGAUAUUCUGGGUCUGUCGCAUGAUGGGUCUGGGAAAGAUAUUGUUUCGGUGGGGGCUGGGCUCGCGGCCUAUCAGCUUAUUGGUGGGGUGAUGGCCUACCACGGCGGUGACGGGUAGCCGGCCUGGGAGGGUAGACGGUCACACUGGGACUGAGACACGGCCCGGACUCCUACGGAAGGCAGCAGUGGGGGAUAUGGCACAGUGGGCGCAAGCCUGAUGCAGCGACGCCGCGUGAGGGAUGGAGGCGUGCGGGUUGUGAACCUCUUUCGCCAGUGAAGCAGGCCUGCCUCGUUUGUGGGUGGGUUGACGGUAGCUGGAUAAGAAGCGCCGGCUAACUACGUG